GCGUUCGUCUCGACACGAGGAUUUCAGAUCUGCAAACCUUUUCACGAGUUGCAUCUCCUAACUCCGUAGAUCUGAAGUCAAAGUUCGGUCUUCGUCAAACUCCGGCGAGCUUUUCCGGCGAAACCGUGGACUUCCGGCGAAAACCGACACCACCAUGGAGUUCCUCUCUUCGAGCUCUACGCCGUGGUGUGGUGGAUUGCAUGAAUCCGAUGUCGGCUCCGUCGUCUUCCCCAACUCCGGCGAGCUUUUCGGCCGCCAUUGUUCAUCUCUGACCGAAAGUGAGCACACCAUCUUGUUCGUCUCGUCGAUAUCGUUCCAUUUUGCCGUUCAUGCGCGAGAUCGGGCUUCGUUUCCGGCUUUCCCAUCUUCUUCUCUCUUUCUCCUGUUCCUUGCAAUAGGAAACGUGACUGCUCCUGUUUCUCCUGUUUCCGUUCGUGCGCACGCCGCUGUGCGCCAUCACCGGCCGUGCGCCUGGCUCCUAGCCGGCCACCGCCGCCUGCACCACCCACCCGAAGCCCCGCCGCACCAGAGCCCCGGCAGGCCGACGGUCAGGAGCUGCGCCAUGCUCCUGGCGUGAGGAAGAAGAUGAGGCGCCACUUUUCAAUCUAGCCCCUGGAGAAUCUGUUAAUUUUUGUUCAUAUUUCUUGUGUCCUUCAAACCUUGUAGAAACCCCCCUGUAACUUUCAGUUCCUUGCAAUCUGAUCCAAGCCAUCCUCUUUUGCAGAUCUAACCCCGAAGAUCCAUCUAUUCGCAGUGACUAUUCUCUGAGUCUUGGUAAUCUUCUCAGCUAACCCUCCAAGUCUACGGUUAAUUACGUUUCGACCCCUGCAACGUUGUUUAACCCAUAGAUUCUACGUUUUAAUUCCGUUUUUGUCCGUUCAAGUUGCGUUAGAUUCAUAAUGAUGUAAAUUACACGUUAGUGGUAAUGUUUUCCUUCACACAUGUUUUUGAAAAUAAAAUUUAUAUUAAAAUUGAUUAAUGCCUGACAAACGAGUUCUUCUCUAAAUAAAAUCUAUUUAGUGUUAAACAUCGUUUUUCAUAAUAAUUGUUAAUUUGUUUAAUGCCUACUUCAUACCCUCUUCUAAAUAAAAUCCAAUUAGGUUAUAUAUCGGUUUUUCAUAAACUAAAGUUAAUUGGAUUAAUGCCUAUCUAAAUAAUUCUUCCAAUUAAAAGCCACUUAGAGUUAUACCUCGGCGUUUCAUAAAUUAAAUUCAAUUUGAUUAAUGUUUAUUCAAUUUGUUUUCUAAAUAAAAUCUGUAUAGGUUAUAUCUCGAGUUUUCAUAAUUAAAUAUUAAUUUGGCUAAUAUAAAUAUAAAUGUGUUUUUAAUUUAAUCUACUUAGUUGAACUCGAGAUGUAAAGCUAUACGCUUAGAUGUCUACAUGUAUCUUAUUUUUAAAUUAACUAUUUAAUUUGCAUUAAUUGUACUCAAAUAUUUAUAAAUAAAAUUGGAGUAAGCUUUACACCGUCUUUUCUCAUGAAAAUAUAAAUAUGACUUGAUUAAUUCUAACUAAGGAUAUUUCUCUGAAAUAUCUUUACAUUGCUUUUCUCAACUAAAAUAAAUAAAGCUUGUAGCUCUUAUCUUUCUUUUAUAAUUCAAAACUCUCGAUAGCUUUAUCUUUUCAACCAUAGUUCCGUUUUAAGCGUUCCUUACGUUCGCGUGACCUUAGAUCGAGCCUUGUCGUUAGUACGCUCUUUUAAAGCCUGUCUUUUGUUUUGGUGUACUACUCUUAGUUGUAUUUGUUUGUUUGCUUGUAUGAUUGUGCCGGUGAUUGCUUCGAGUAGAAGGAUCGCCGUUCGGAAGCUCUGAAGAGUACGAGUUUCAAGUGAGCAAGAGCCGAAGAGAAGUAAGAGUAACUUUUCGUUGGAGAAAGGCAAGUGUGUCCUUGUGCUUUUGUCCCAAUAACUUCAUUUAAUCACUAUUGCAUAUGCUUGCAUUAAAUUUGAUGGGUCCUAUUAAGGUUUGCCUAGUUUUUAUGAUUAUUCCUUGCCAACCUGGGUUUACCUUUCUGUUGGGUAGCUAUGCUUAGCUGCUAUACUUGGGUUAUGGUGGUUCUAAUGAACAACAUGGUGAACUUAUUCUAUUUAUGAUAUAACUUUUGUUAUACAAGAUUACAAUAUUUAAUUGGAACAUGGAGCGACCACCCAGGAAAACAGUGCUACCACAAGACUAAAUGGCUCUGGUCUUGGCUGAAUAAUUAGAAACUCUAGUUUGGGGUAACCUUACCGAAAGGGCAAGAGGGGAGGCGUUGAUGGGGUAUAGCACUCGCUCUCUUGGGAAGUGGGCUUGGCUAAGACACUAUACCCUCUAGGGGACUGCUAUGUUUCGCUUCGACCUGAAACCUUAGCGGGUUACCACAUUGCUAGCGAAUCUUUGUAAAGGCCUCGUAGCGUCCCUAUGCAAUCACACCUCGGAAGUGUGGUAUUGUGCCUGAUCAGCACAAGCGUGGUUGGGUCUAAAGUUCUUUUGAACUUUUACGCGACUUGUGGGUAAAGAUGUGCAACCUCUGCAGAGUGUAAAACUGAUCGAUCAGCCGUGCUCACGGUUAAGAGCGGCCUGGACCCUCACAUGAGUAAUAUACUUGAAGAUGGAUUUAAAUUGUGGUUUAUGCUAUGGUUAUGGUUGUGCCAUAUGCUUAUGGCUUAUGUUUUUGUUUCUAUUAAUUGUGGGUUGGUAUAUACUUAUACCUUAGUAAUCAGGUGCUAAUAAAAUUUGACCAACUAAAAAUGCUUAAUGCAGUCAACCAGUCAGCCUUUCCUUGUUUAACCCUUGCAUUCAUAUUCUCCUCACACUUGCUGAGUACGACAAGUGCUCACCCUUGCUAUAAACAACGUUGCUCAGAAGAAGAAGUUGCUAUGAAGUUGUUGUGAAGAUGGUGCUGAGUCCUAGGCGUACGCAGCCCCCAGUCGAUUGCCUGUGAAGUUUGGAGCCUCCGUUUCCAUAAUUAAGCUGUAUAUCUCUGAUGGUUUGUAAGUCUUUAUUUGUAUCUUUUUACGUGAUACUGUUGCUGUUAUUCACUUAUGAUGUCACUAUAUGUAUGAAACUUGAUCCUAGCAUACAUAUAGGUAGCAUUCGGUUUUACCUUUAAAACCGGGUGUGACAGAAGUGGUAUCAGAGCCGUAUCGACUGUAGGACGUAAGCCUAGAUAGCAAUGAUCACUUCCUCGAUAUGGACCGAAACAUAUUAUAACGGUAUUUUAGAAACGGUAAACACGUGAGACCGUAAACCAUAACACUAUUCAUUUCUCAAUCCUCCUUGAUAACUUGAGCUCUUUUCAUUUGCACUUCUUGUCUUGCAAAUGUUAGACCCUCAAUCCUUGUCUAUUUUAUUUCCUCUCUCCUUGAUCACUGCUUGAUCUUUAUCAUGCAUCUCCUUCUUGAUGAAUGAUCUUACUUGUUUGAUGCAAUACACCUCCUCGAUUUCUUAGUGAUAUUGCUACUCUCUCAUUCCCUGUUCAUUUAUCUCCAUGAUGCUUUCCUUACUUACUUAUCCUUUGUAAACCUAUCUCUUCCUUAACUUUAUUUUCAGUAUAUCCAUCUUCCCCAUUGUACCUCUCGUUGCUUUUUGAAUAAAUGCUACCUUGGAAUCUUUUCCUUGACUUUUGAUUCCAAAAUGUCUCAUUUUAUUCAAAAAUAUCUAGAUGAUCCAUGCCACCUGUCUUAAAGCCUGUUCAAGACAUCCGAAGAAUGGAGUUACCGGUUCACCACUAGAAGUCAAGCCUGAGCAACUGAAACGUGCACCAAACAGCUGGAGUCAAUGCUGGACAAGUUGAAGGAUGCCUACAUCAAGCACGUUGAAGCCUUACCAAACAACCCCUGCUUAGGAGUACCCCUUGCAGCCUUAUUAACAACGUUUAGCAUCGUUUCUUGACUGUGUGUUGACUGGUGGAAUUCUGUGUUUGCAUGAUGAUGCUUGUCUUUAUGAAAUUGUCUGAUUUGUUUCUUUGUAAUGAUUGUUGGUGUAUUGUGGGUCUUCUAUCUACAAUGACAUCAGUUGCCUAGCUGGGUUUUUCUUUUGAAUCUCCCAUAUCCUUGUCAUCCAUUCCUUUCUACCCGAGCCAAUGAAGGAUAUCAGAAAAGAGGGAACUAAAGUCAACACCAACGUCAACAAGCAGGAGUUAACAUCACCACCACCGUCUCGCUAGAAGCAAGUUGAAGAAUAGAAGGCUUUACUCUGAUCUCCAUCUUACGCUAAUGAUGAUUACAAGAACCAAAGAAGAUGAAGAAAGCAGGGAGAUUCUACUCUCGAUAAGCAAAGAUGGAAGACUAUCCACUCUACCAUAAGGAACUUGUUGUCUCCCACCUCUUUGUUUUCUUUUCUCUCUUCGAAUCUGCUUGUACCUCCCACACCCUUGUUAUUUUUCUUUCUAUCUCCCAAUUCUGAUGGACAUAAAGAAGAGGGUGAAGGCAACACCAAUGCCAACAAGCGGAGGCUAUCACCACCAUCACCGUCAGAAUAGAAGCAAGUCGAAGAAAAGAAGGCCCUACCCUAGUUUACUUGCCACCUUGCUGCUUUCUAUCCUUCCUUCUACCUUACUCGGAUGACGACCCAAGAAAAGACGAAGAUAUCAUGAAGUGCUCUACCUUGUUCUGCAAUUUUAUCCAUUUUUCUAUUUUCUUCUAAUCCUAUCUUUAUCACCGAACCAAAUGGCAAGUCCCGAUGAAAAUCAUGAAGAUAGAGCCAAUGAGGGAGAUCUUAACAUUCCACCUGUAACCGCAUUAUUUGAAUGCAAGGUGUUAGAGUAUAUGGCAACACAAACUCAGACUUUACAAGCAAUGGCUCAAACCAUAGUCAGUAUCCAUCAGUAUAUCACAGAACACGUCUCACUCCCUCAGAACCACAACCCUAUCACCAGUGAUGACCAUCACGUUUCGUUUGCUCCACCACCGUUCGACAACGAGAAGCUAUUAGCUAUGCAGGCUCAAGUCUUACAAGGAAGGAAACAGACUGACACAUCAUCCCCUCAUAACAUGGAGAUAACCAAGGCUGGAAUUUCCACUGGACCACUGAAGAGGCAAGUUGCUGAAGCAUGGAACCGUCAAAGAAACAAGCCAAGCCGUAUAGCGCUAGAGCUUGAAAUGGAGAGGCAUCUGGCUCGAAAUGGAGAGGCAAUAUGAGGAUGUUAAGAUUCCAGGAACAUACCAAUGUUGUGAACACCAUGGUCUUCCAUGUCUCCAGAAAGAAGAUAGCCUAAUGAUAGCUGAAGCCAGACAACAUUACCAUUUAGAUAUCAAUAAGAAGAGGAAGUUGUAUGCUCAAGUGCCAUACCUAGAGGGAGUUACCCAAGAUGAAGAUAGUACUCAGACUAUGAACCUUGAGUGUUGGAGUAUCUCUUUCAAAGAAUUUCAGCCCUGGAGGAGUAGGCGAGCCAAGAAGCCAACCAGUAAAACAAGUCAAGAGAAGAUGAAGUUACCACAACCAUUGGCAGAUAACAAUACUCAGCCUAGUUCCCACCAACCACAGCCUAAAGUUGUUCACCAUCCACAUGGUAACCCCAUUAAUAAGGAUCCUGAUGCACUAGUUAUUCCACCGAGAGUUACUAGGGAGCAGAAAGAAAACCAAGAUGGAUGUGUAGAAGUAUUGUGCUUCAGAUGCGAUGAAGAAGGCCAUUAUGCCAAUAACUGUCCAAUAAAGCAUAAGUCGACCAAGUCCGCUGGAGCCAAAUUGUAUUGCCUCUAAUGUGGAGAAAAUAGACAUAUCGAUUAGUCGGUAUGCAAAAGAGAAGGCUGAUCAACCCCAGGACCAGGUACCCAAAAGCCCUGCCUUCAACCCGACAACAUCAAUUGGCCUCUUUGUCAGGACAAAUGAUCAAGACACCUCAGUCAGGAAAGAAUGCCAUCAAUUUCUAGUGCCCAAUUCCUAUACCACAUCCAAUUGCCAAAGUACCAAAGCAGGAGAAACAUGUUUCUACCGCAAAGAAGAGGGACAUUUCAUCAGACAAUGUUCCGAGAAGCGUUUGGACCAGAUGGAGAAGAAGACUCAAGGAUGUGUAUGAAGACUUGAUGGGUGACAGUCGAGCCAGAGGGAAGCAAUUCAGCUCUAUUCAAAUCACUUUACCAAGAAAUGAAGAAAAUUCUUCAAAGAUGGGCCAAAGAAGCAGAGGGAUGGAAAGUAUACUUAAAAGAGGAAUUAGACUAAGUAUCCCUGAAGUGUUUUAUGUGAUGUAGUGAAGCAUAAAGAAGCAUGAUUGAGAAGCUUACGUAAGGAUGAACGAUCUGGGAAGAAGCUAAUAAGUGUUGGAUGCUACCCACCUAAACCUUUUGUCUCUUGCUAGCCUUUGCGAAUCUCGGGACGAGAUUCUUGUUAAGGGGGGUAGUGUUGUCACACCCUGAAAUUUCCGAAUUUCAGGAUGUGAAUAAAAAGAAUAAAUAAACAAUAAUUUUCUCAUAAUUUUAAAAUUUUCCCAACAUUUAAUUUUCUUUUACAGGAAAUUUAGUAUAGGAAAAAUAAUUGUUUGCUUUGAUAAAUUAAAUAAUGUUGUUCUACGUUUGUGCAUUCAUGUCGCUGCAUCUUGGCGUUUCUUGAGUGCAAAAGUUUGAAAAUACGUUUAGACAUUGCCCAAACCCUUGUGAGAAUUUUCCAUCUUUUUCCGGAAAUUAUUCUCCUUUUCCUAGAGCUAAAUCUAAUUUUUAGAAGGUUCUAGAAUCCUUUUCAUGAGCUCCAAGUAUUUUAUUUGGAUUCCUUGCAUCCCAAUCCAUCUCUGAGAUUUAUCUCAGAUUUUUCGGAAUUUUCUAGGUAUUUUUCUCGCUUUAGAAAAUGAGUCCGGCUAUUUCUGGAAUUGUUUUCGCGCAGAUAAAUAAAAUCAGAAAUUCCGAAAAUAAAAAGUCAACUCGAAAAUAUCUUUUUCCGAGUGUGGCCUAUAUAUAUAUCAUCGCGUUCGUCUCGACACGAGGAUUUCAGAUCUGCAAACCUUUUCACGAGUUGCAUCUCCUAACUCCGUAGAUCUGAAGUCAAAGUUCGGUCUUCGUCAAACUCCGGCGAGCUUUUCCGGCGAAACCGUGGACUUCCGGCGAAAACCGACACCACCAUGGAGUUCCUCUCUUCGAGCUCUACGCCGUGGUGUGGUGGAUUGCAUGAAUCCGAUGUCGGCUCCGUCGUCUUCCCCAACUCCGGCGAGCUUUUCGGCCGCCAUUGUUCAUCUCUGACCGAAAGUGAGCACACCAUCUU
rnacentral:lncRNA from 1 species